UACGGAGGGCGCAAGCGUUGUUCGGAAUUACUGGGCGUAAAGGGCGCGCAGGCGGCCAGUUAAGUCCGAUGUGAAAGCCCUCGGCUCAACCGAGGAAGUGCAUUGGAUACUGAUUGGCUCGAGUACAGGAGGGGAGAGCGGAAUUCCCGGUGUAGCGGUGAAAUGCGUAGAUAUCGGGAGGAACAUCGGUGGCGAAGGCGGCUCUCUGGACUGUUACUGACGCUGAGGCGCGAAAGCGUGGGGAGCGAACGGG
rnacentral:misc_RNA from 1 species